UACGUAGGGGGCAAGCGUUGUCCGGAUUCAUUGGGCGUAAAGGGCGAGUAGGUGGUUAUGUAAGUCGGAUGUGAAAACUCCAGGCUCAACCUGGAGACGCCACCCGAUACUGCAUUGACUAGAGUUCGGUAGGGGAUCACGGAAUACCUGGUGUAGCGGUGAAAUGCGCAGAUAUCAGGUGGAACACCGGUGGCGAAGGCGGUGAUCUGGGCCGACACUGACACUGAAUCGCGAAAGCGUGGGGAGCGAACAGG
rnacentral:rRNA from 1 species